UACGUAGGGGGCGAGCGUUGUCCGGAUUUAUUGGGCGUAAAAGGCUUGUAGGUGGCCACGCGACGUCGGAUGUGAAAUCUCCCGGCUCAACUGGGAGGGGUCAUUCGAUACUGGCGGGCUCGAGGCCGGUAGGGGGAAGCGGAAUUCCCGGUGUAGUGGUGGAAUGCGUAGAUAUCGGGAGGAACACCAGUGGCGAAGGCGGCUUCCUGGACCGGUUCUGACACUGAGGAGCGAAAGCGUGGGGAGCGAGCCGG
rnacentral:rRNA from 1 species